rnacentral:rRNA from 1 species
UACGUAGGGUGCGAGCGUUAAUCGGAAUUACUGGGCGUAAAGCGCGCGUAGGCGGCUUUGCAAGUCGGGUGUGAAAUCCCCAGGCUUAACCUGGGAACUGCAUUCGAGACUGCAUUGCUAGAGUAUGGGAGAGGGAAGUGGAAUUUCCGGUGUAGCGGUGAAAUGCGCAGAUAUCAGGAAGAACACCCGUGGCGAAGGCGGCUCUCUGGGACGGUACUGACGCUGAGACGCGAAAGCGUGGGGAGCGAACAGG